ensembl:snRNA U6 U6 spliceosomal RNA
GUGUUUGCUCCGUCAGCACACAUACUGAAAUCGGAAUGAUACAGAGAAGAUGAGUAUGGCUCCUGCGCAAGGAUGACAGGCAAAUUUGUGAAGCGGUCCUUAUUUUU